CAUUAUGUUAACCUGGGGCUCGUGUCACGAAGCAACCUUUACUAAGGUUAACCUUUACUCCCAUUCUAUAACAUUACAAUAUGAUUA